UACGUAGGUGACCAGCGUUGUCCGGAUUUACUGGGCGUAAAGAGCGCGCAGGCGGUCGUUCAAGUCGAGUGUGAAAGCCCCCGGCUCAACUGGGGAGGGUCACUCGAUACUGAUCGACUUGAAGGCAGGAGAGGGAAGCGGAAUUCCCGGUGUAGUGGUGAUAUGCGUAGAUAUCGGGAGGAACACCAGUGGCGAAGGCGGCUCUCUGGGCCUUUCCUGACGCUGAGACGCGAAAGCGUGGGGAGCGAACCGG
rnacentral:rRNA from 1 species